CCCUUAGAUGUUCUGGGCCACACGCGCGUUACACUGAUGAAGCCAGCGAGUAUAUCGCCUUCACCGGAAGGUGCGGGUAAUCUUGUGAAACUUCAUCGUGCUGGGGAUAGACCAUUGCAAUUAUUGGUCUUGAACGAGGAAUUCCUAGUAAGCAUGAGUCAUCAACUCGUGCUGAUUACGUCCCUGCCCUUUGUACACACCGCCCGUCGCUACUACCGAUUGAAUGGUUUAGUGAGAUCUCGGGAUUGGAGACGUUGCGCCGCAAGGCACAUCGUCCUCGAGAACUUGAUCAAACUUGAUCAUUUAGAGGAAGGAGAAGUCGUAACA
rnacentral:rRNA from 1 species